CUUGUUUAUUGGGCAACACUAAGCAAAGUUAAUGAUUAUUCCAGUCUUUAACUAGGACGUGAGAAGCUCUCUCCCCAUCUUCACCCAUUUCUGUGAAGCUUUCAGGGACUAUGGGCCUCGCACUGAUAGCACCUCCCCAGGCUGGGCUGGCCCAGACAGUCGAAGAGUAGGACCAGCCACUUCUCAGCCCAGCUGACAUUUGGCAGCUUUGUGAUUUUGGAUAAGACAUCUUCUCUUGGGAGGUCAGACAAGAUCAACUCUUCCAGCUAUGACAUUGCGUGAGGCAAUGAAGAGGGGAAAGUCCAUGAAUGGAAGGUGGAACUUGAUUGGAUCUGUUUUGUGGGUUCAGGAGAGGUCCUAUCACAACUCACUGGAGAAAGAAGACUUUGCUCUGCCACCCAGAAUGGAGUGUGCAGUGGCACAAUCAUGGCUCACUGCAGCCUGAAACUCUUGGGCUCAAGCGAUCCUCCCGCCUCAGCCUCCCAAGUGGCUGAGACUACAGGAACACACCACCACACCUGGCUAAAUUUUUUAAUUUUUCUAGAGACAAGGUCUCACUAUAUUGCCCAGGCUGAUCUUGAACUCCUGGCCUCAAGCAAUUCUCCUUCCUCAGCCUCCUAAAGUGUUGGGAUUACAAGUGUGAACCGCUGUACCUGGCAAAAAUGCUAUUUUAAUUGAGAUUAUAUGACAGUUGUAGAUUAUUUUGAUAAAGAACUGAUUACAUUACAAAAUCAAUUCUUCCUAUAUAAGAACGGGAUAUAGCAUUCCAUUUAUUUCGUUAUUUCAUUCCUUUCUCUUCUUUAGUAUACAUUAAAACCUGCAUAUUAGUUGUUAGUAUUCCUUGGUGUUUUAUCUCAUUACUAUAUAUUGCAUCAUAUGUGUGUAUGGAUAAAUGUGUGUAUGUAUACACAGUCACACAUGCACCUAUACCUUAAAAUAUAAUGUUAAAGUAGAACCAUUCUCUUCACUUCUCACAAAAGUUUUUUUUUUCCAUUGGGACUAGACAUUGAAUUUUGUCUGAAGACUCACUAACAAUAUAUGGAGCUGACCAUAUGGCUUUUUUCUUUUGAGUUUCUUUUGAAGAAUUAAAUACUAGAAGUUUGGAUGUUAAGCCAACUUUUAUGACUUGGCUAAAACCCAAUUGUCCAAAGUGUAUUAUUCUUUUAAUACAUUGUUGGCUUUUAUUUAUUACUAUUUUUUUCAAAUUUUAUUUUACUAUUCAAAACACCAAUGUGCACUCGUCUGUCUUCAUUCAAUUUUAUAUUACUGAAUAAUGACAUAAUGAUAAAAGGAUAAUAUAAUGAUAUAAUGAUGUUAUUCUGUCUUUGUAAAUUCC
rnacentral:lncRNA from 1 species